CAAGCACUACCGCCAUUGUUCAAUUUCACAGCACAAGAACUUGCUGGUGCAUCGACUGAAUUGCGCCAUCGCCUCAUACCCGAACAUGCACAAAAUUAAAUUAACUUGAAUAUGGCCUCCUGGAUAUUGUUGUUCUUUGGCCAAACCAACCCCGGAAGAUCAUCCAUCCACAGUAGAUCCAUCACCACUGUCAUCAACAACCUGCUUGUAAGUCGUAACACGGAGAAUCAAAGGGCAUGCCAUGCACCUCGCGAAGGAAGGAGGUGUGCUGGCUAACUAG
rnacentral:misc_RNA from 1 species